UAGAGUUUGAUCCUGGCUCAGAUUGAACGCUGGAGGCGUGCUUAACACAUGCAAGUCGAGCGAGAAAGGGACUUCGGUCCUGAGUAGAGCGGCGCACGGGUGAGUAACGCGUGGGUAAUCUCCCUCCGUGACUGGGAUAACAGUGGGAAACUGCUGCUAAUACCGGAUAAUCUUCAUGUUUAACUUCAUGGGGAAAAGGUGGCCUCUGCUUGCAAGCUACCACACAAAGAUGAGCCCGCGUCUCAUUAGCUAGUUGGUAGGGUAAUGGCCUACCAAGGCUACGAUGAGUAGCUGGUCUGAGAGGAUGACCAGCCACACUGGGACUGGAACACGGCCCAGACUCCUACGGGAGGCAGCAGUGGGGAAUAUUGCGCAAUGGGCGAAAGCCUGACGCAGCGACGCCUCGUGAGGGAUGAAGGUCUUCGGAUCGUAAACCUCUGUCAAGAGGGAAGAAACCCUUGGAUUCGAAUAGGGUCCUUGGCUGACGGUACCUCAAAAGGAAGCACCGGCUAACUCCGUGCCAGCAGCCGCGGUAAUACGGAGGGUGCAAGCGUUAAUCGGAAUCACUGGGCGUAAAGCGCUCGUAGGCGGUUUGGUCAGUCAGAUGUGAAAGCCCUCGGCUUAACCGGGGAACUGCAUUUGAUACUGCCAGACUUGAGUGUCGGAGAGGGUGGCGGAAUUCCGGGUGUAGGAGUGAAAUCCGUAGAUAUCCGGAGGAACACCAGUGGCGAAGGCGGCCACCUGGACGACAACUGACGCUGAGGAGCGAAAGCGUGGGGAGCAAACAGGAUUAGAUACCCUGGUAGUCCACGCGGUAAACGAUGGAUGCUGGGUGUCGGGGGUUUACCUUCGGUGCCGCAGUUAAC
rnacentral:rRNA from 1 species